CAUGACUCGUUGUCCAUCUUGGGUGUAGCCUUGGCCAGGCUCUUGUACUGCCCAAUGUGUAUCCUUUGAAGGCCUUUUAAUAAAUACUUUAUUCCUUUAACACUGUCUAGCCUCUCUUCUAGGUAGCCUCUCAAGGCACCAGAGAAGCCAAGAGAUUGAGUGACCAGUCAACACAAUAACAGCUGGAAGGAAGAACAGCAGCUGUCCUGAAAAGAACCAAACUAGAAGGCACAUUUCCCAAGAGAGAAGACCACUGGCAGCUGCCCAGCAUGGCACUAGGAAUAGCCAGCCUGGCAAAAAAAACCACAUGGACUGAAACAGCAUGGAAACUUCUAGAGCAAGCCAAGGGUGCCCAGAAGGUCAAGGCAGGAGAUUACAUCACUCUCAGGUCACUGCCUUUGGUACAAUGUUACAAGCAGUGCACAGGGAUCAGUGCACAAUAAGGAGAGAGGGAACCCCAAGGUGGCCCCAGUGUCCUGGCAUGGUACUGCCUACUGGAGGGACAUGGUCUGGUGCUCUUCUUACUGCUGAGCUGUGCUGGUGCAUCAGGGACUUGGGACAUCCAGGAGAGUACAUGAGGAAUAUGGAACUGUUUCUUGAAAUGGUCAGUGUAUUGCAGGCAGCCUAAGCACAUUUUCAUUUUAGGCCACUUGUAGGGAAAAUAUGGAUGAAAUAGUUUUGGGAAUGCACAGUUUUUUCUUAGAUCAAGCAGCUUAAAAGAGAUUAUACACAGCGUUGAGCUGUUCUGUAUUUAUCAGCCAGUGUGACCAACAGCCAACACUUUGUGAAACUUCCCCAUGGCUACAUCCUUGUCUAUAUUAAAAGGGUCAGAGGAAUUCAAGUGUUUUGAAGUUUAUCUUGAACUGUGAUUUUUCUGUCCAGAAGCUGAAAGAAACCUCAGCAUUUUUUGUCACUACUUUGGCAAAC
rnacentral:lncRNA from 1 species